GGAACUUGCUAGUAAUGGCAGGUCAGCAUACUGCCGUGAAUACGUUCCCGGGCCUUGUACACACCGCCCGUCCACACCAUGAGAGUUGGGAAUACCCGAAGCCUGUGAGCCGACCGAAAGGGGCAGCAGUCGAAGGUAGAAUCAAUGAUUGGGGUGAAGUCGUAACAAGGUACC
rnacentral:rRNA from 1 species